AAUGCACUAGGCAGGAUAUCAAAGUUUGCGGAAGCGACUCGUUCAAAUAAACUCUACAGUCUGUCUAAUCGACACGGACUCAUUCACGUCUGCGCCGUGUUGUACUUCUUAUAAGCAGAUAAUAUAAGAACUUUAUCUCUCUUAUUUUAAAAAAAUAUGUGUUUCUCUACACUUCUAUCUAAUCUGGAUUUUUCGUAAGCUUUUAUGAAAUUGUAGCUCAACUUAAGACUUUGUCAAUCUAAAGUUAAGAGUGUUUUGAAUUACCUUACCUGUUUGAUAUCACAUUUAUUGUAAUCGCCCCAACUGACUCAUUGAAACAAACAAAAAAUGUGUUUUAAACGCAAAAGGACUGAUUCUCUUACUAAGUCGCCACGUUUUACCAAAAUUAGAG
rnacentral:sRNA from 1 species